UGCCAGCCGCCGCGGUAACACGAACCGUACGAACGUUAUUCGGAAUCACUGGGCUUAAAGAGUUCGUAGGCGGCUUGGUAAGUAGGGUGUGAAAUCCCCCGGCUCAACCGGGGAACUGCGCUCUAAACUGGAUGGCUUGAGUAAGAUAGGGGUGUGCGGAACUUCCGGUGGAGCGGUGAAAUGUGUUGAUAUCGGAAGGAACACCAGUAGCGAAAGCGGCACACUGGGUCUUAACUGACGCUGAGGCACGAAAGCUAGGGUAGCGAACGGGAUUAGAUA
rnacentral:rRNA from 1 species